UACGAAGGGGGCUAGCGUUGCUCGGAAUCACUGGGCGUAAAGCGCACGUAGGCGGAUUGUUAAGUCGGGGGUGAAAUCCUGGAGCUCAACUCCAGAACUGCCUUCGAUACUGGCGAUCUUGAGUCCGGGAGAGGUGAGUGGAACUCCGAGUGUAGAGGUGAAAUUCGUAGAUAUCAGGAGGAACACCAAUGGCGAAGGCAGCUCGCUGGAACGGUACUGACGCUGAGGCGCGAAAGCGUGGGGAGCGAACAGG
rnacentral:rRNA from 1 species